rnacentral:rRNA from 1 species
CCUACGGGGCGCUGCAGUGAGGAAUAUUGGUCAAUGGACGAGAGUCUGAACCAGCCAAGUAGCGUGAAGGAUGACUGCCCUAUGGGUUGUAAACUUCUUUUAUAUGGGAAUAAAAUGUUCCACGUGUGGGAUUUUGUAUGUACCAUAUGAAUAAGGAUCGGCUAACUCCGUGCCAGCAGCCGCGGUAAUACGGAGGAUGCGAGCGUUAUCCGGAUUUAUUGGGUUUAAAGGGUGCGUAGGCGGACUGUUAAGUCAGCGGUAAAAGCCCGGGGCUCAACCCCGGCGAGCCGUUGAAACUGGCUGUCUUGAGAUGUCGAGAGGUAUGCGGAAUGCGCAGUGUAGCGGUGAAAUGCUUAGAUAUUGCGCAGAACCCCGAUUGCGAAGGCAGCAUGCCGGCUUCCGACUGACGCUGAAGCACGAAAGCGUGGGGAUCGAACAGGAUUAGAUACCCCUGUAGUC